rnacentral:piRNA from 1 species
UGUGACGACGUCUUGUGCUUGCGGUUUAGU